ACUCCUACGGGAGGCAGCAGUGGGGAAUCUUGGACAAUGGGGGCGAACCCUGAUCCAGCCAUGCCGCGUGAGUGAUGAAGGCCCUAGGUCGUAAAGCUCUUUCGCCUGUGAUGAUAAUGACAGUAGCAGGUAAAGAAACCCCGGCUAACUCCGUGCCAGCAGCCGCGGUAAUACGGAGGGGGUUAGGCGUUGUUCGGAAUUACUGGGGCGUAAAGCGCGCGUAGGCGGAUUGGAAAGUUGGGGGUGAAAUCCCGGGGCUCAACCCCGGAACUGCCUCCAAAACUCCCAGUCUUGAGUUCGAGAGAGGUGAGUGGAAUUCCGAGUGUAGAGGUGAAAUUCGUAGAUAUUCGGAGGAACACCAGUGGCGAAGGCGGCUCACUGGCUCGAUACUGACGCUGAGGUGCGAAAGUGUGGGGAGCAAACAGGAUUAGAUACCCUGGUAGGAUAGCG
rnacentral:rRNA from 1 species